GGGGAUAUAGCUUAGAUGGUAAAGUACUUGUUUAGUAUGGAAGAGGUUGUAGGAUCGAUAUCUUAUUUUUUCA